rnacentral:rRNA from 1 species
AUUGAACGCUGGCGGUAGGCCUAACACAUGCAAGUCGAACGGCAGCACAGUAAGAGCUUGCUCUUACGGGUGGCGAGUGGCGGACGGGUGAGGAAUACAUCGGAAUCUACUUUUUCGUGGGGGAGAACGUAGGGAAACUUACGCUAAUACCGCAUACGACCUACGGGUGAAAGCAGGGGAUCUUCGGACCUUGCGCGAUUGAAGGAGCCGAUGUCGGAUUAGCUAGUUGGCGGGGUAAAGGCCCACCAAGGCGACGAUCCGUAGCUGGUCUGAGAGGAUGAUCAGCCACACUGGAACUGAGACACGGUCCAGACUCCUACGGGAGGCAGCAGUGGGGAAUAUUGGACAAUGGGCGCAAGCCUGAUCCAGCCAUACCGCGUGGGUGAAGAAGGCCUUCGGGUUGUAAAGCCCUUUUGUUGGGAAAGAAAAGCAGCAGGUUAAUACCCCGCUGUUCUGACGGUACCAAAAGAAUAAGCACCGGCUAACUUCGUG